rnacentral:lncRNA from 1 species
UAUGCCAGAGAUUUUAACUUUGAGAAUUUGAAUUCGGUGCUGCUGCUGCUGCUUUCUUCAUCUGAUCUUGUUCCACCUAUUAUCUCCUUCAUCUUGUGACAUCCUGCAACUGAAAUCUUUUCUAGGUGUACGAGGGAAAUCCAAGAAGAUGGAACCAAGAUCUCCAUGCUGUUGCAAUUCCGUACUGCAAUUUGUUGGAGAGAAUCGCAAAUCAGGUUUGCACUCCAAAUUCUUUUCAGUUCUGGUAAAUCUUCCAAUGCUAGAGAUCUUAACUUUGAGAAUUUGAAUUUGGUGCUGCUGCUGCUGCUUUCUUCAUCUGAUCUUAUUCCACCUAUUAUCUCCUUCAUCUUCUUACAUCUUGCAACUGAAAUCUUUUCUAGGUUUACGAGGGAAAUCCAAGAAGAUGGAACCAAGCUCUCCAUGCUGUUGCAAUUCCGUACUUCAAUUUGUUGGAGAGAAUCGGAAAUAAGUUUUGCACUACAAAUUCUUUUCAGUUCUGGUAACCGACUCAAUUUCAUAGAUCUUAAC